GAUGAACGCUGGCGGCGUGCCUAAUACAUGCAAGUCGAGCGAACAGACGAGGAGCUUGCUCCUUUGACGUUAGCGGCGGACGGGUGAGUAACACGUGGGUAACCUACCUAUAAGACUGGGAUAACUUCGGGAAACCGGAGCUAAUACCGGAUAAUAUUUCGAACCGCAUGGUUCGAUAGUGAAAGAUGGCUUUGCUAUCACUUAUAGCUGGACCUGCGCCGUAUUAGCUAGUUGGUAAGGUAACGGCUUACCAAGGCAACGAUACGUAGCCGACCUGAGAGGGUGAUCGGCCACACUGGAACUGAGACACGGUCCAGACUCCUACGGGAGGCAGCAGUAGGGAAUCUUGCGAAAUGGGCGAAAGCCUGACGGAGCAACGCCGCGUGAGUGAUGAAGGUCUUCGGAUCGUAAAACUCUGUUAUUAGGGAAGAACAAACGUGUAAGUAACUGUGCACGUCUUGACGGUACCUAAUCAGAAAGCCACGGCUAACUACGG
rnacentral:rRNA from 1 species